rnacentral:rRNA from 1 species
GAUGAACGCUGGCGGCGUGCCUAAUACAUGCAAGUCGAGCGAACGGACGAGGAGCUUGCUCCUCUGACGUUAGCGGCGGACGGGUGAGUAACACGUGGAUAACCUACCUAUAAGACUGGGAUAACUUCGGGAAACCGGAGCUAAUACCGGAUAAUAUAUUGAACCGCAUGGUUCAAUAGUGAAAGACGGUUUUGCUGUCACUUAUAGAUGGAUCCGCGCCGCAUUAGCUAGUUGGUAAGGUAACGGCUUACCAAGGCAACGAUGCGUAGCCGACCUGAGAGGGUGGACGGCCACACUGGAACGGAGACAGGGCACAGACUACAACGGGAGGCAGAAGAAGGAAAUCUUCCACAAGGGGCAAAGGCCGGAGGGAGCAACGCGGCGUGAGGAAUAAAGGUCUUGGGAUCGAAAAACUCUUUUAUAAGGAAAAAAAAAAUGUGAAAGAAAAAAUGCACGUCUUGAGGGAACAUAAUAAGAAACACAGGGAAAACAACGGG